GCACUGUUAUGAGGUCACUGGGUCAGAACCCCACUGAGGCUGAGCUCCAGGACAUGAUCAAUGAAGUGGAUGCUGAUGGCAAUGGAACUAUUGAUUUUCCUGAAUUCCUAAACCUCAUGGCCAGGAAGAUGAAGGAUACCGACUCUGAGGAGGAGCUGAAAGAGGCCUUCCGGGUUUUCGACAAGGAUCAGAAUGGUUUCAUCUCAGCUGCUGAGCUGCGCCAUGUGAUGACAAACCUAGGAGAGAAACUUACUGAUGAAGAAGUUGAUGAGAUGAUAAGGGAAGCUGAUGUUGAUGGUGAUGGCCAGAUAAAUUAUGAGGAAUUUGUCAAGGUUAUGAUGGCCAAGUAAUGACCCCAACCCACCAAUACUUAUAAAAUGGGUUGACUAAAUUAUAAAGGGAUUCCUAGUUUUCUCUUUUACAAUUUUUAAUUUGAUAGUCAUGAGGGUCAGGCUAAAGGAAGCAAUGGUCUUUUAAUGGUGAUGGGCCUGAUGGUGUAGGAAGAAUGUUGUCUCCCUCGUCAAUAUGUCUUGUGACUCGAAAAACUUUUCGGUUUUUAUUAUUUUAGUUGUUCUGCUGUUCUAUGAAUGUUGUUGUCUGUUUAAUGUGUUUCAUUAAUUUCUGCCCUUGCGAUGUUUAUUUUUCUUUUGGUCGAAAUAUGUAUCCUAUUUUAUGUAUCAGGCUAUCAGCUUAGGUUUCUUGGCCUAUAAUUUUAUUUCUUUGGUUAUGAUGAAUGAAUUUGCUAUGGGCUUUUGCUGCAGUGGUCGGUUUUGGUCUUGUAAUAGAAAUUACCCCAGGGACUGAACGGUCUAUAUGGCAUUACUCACAAACUCGAAUUUUCUUUUCAAUGGAAUGAAUCUGGAUUACCAAACACGGCAAUGCCCUUGUUUCUCGUUGAGAAAGAAGAAAAUACAGAAGUAAAUUGAACGUCUGUAAAUCCUCUGCUAGAUCCGUUUUGACUUUUAUGCAAGGGGCUUUGUGUUAGUGCUGUCUGGUUCGUUUCAACAAUCUAAAACAAUUUCAAGAUCUAAUCUAUUUUCAAAACUAAUUUUAAUGAAUGAACGAACAUUUCCAAAACUUCAUCUCACGGGGAACGUACAUUUCUAAAAAUUCCAUUUCUUUGGGGACGUUAAACACGAUGUUUCAAUAUUUGAGUUCUCAUGAUGUGGCAUCUAUUUAUUGUAGGAAAGAAUGGAGUAAUAAUAAUAUUUUAUGGGUACACAUUAAUUAUAUAUGUUAUUAUAUGAAUUAUAAUAUUUCUUCUUACUUAAAUGAAGUUAAAUCCCGUUGGAUUUAAGCGUCUUCUUUGAUAUAUAUAAAUCUAUAUUAGUCAUCAACCGCGGAACUAUGUUUGGGCCUCAAGGGCCUAGCUCCAGUUCGGAAAUAAUUGGACAAAAAUAAGGUUGAACUUUUAUAAUCUAGUCUAUUCUAACGUAUAAUUUAUACUUUGGUUUUCUUAUUUUUAGAUUUUUAUAUAUAUUAUGACCCCAUAAAAUCAAAAUUAUAGUUGUACCACUGGUAACAUUGUGAUGUUCUAUCUUAUGAAGUAGUGAGAUUUUUUUUUAUAAUUAUUUUAUUAAAAUAGUACAACACUUCAAAAUAUAUUGUUUUUAUACCUGAAGUUUCUAAAGAUACAAAUUUUAUACUUUGUCUUUUUGAAUCUUCAUGAAAUACAUUCUUCAGCAAGGGCGAGAUAAGGUAAAUAAUGUUAGGCUUGGGUAUUAUUUCGAAGUUCUUGACGAGAAGAAUAAAAGUCAUAGUAAAUGUUUUACAAAUUUUGUUGUUCAAAAUUUGGCACUAAAUUGCAGAAUUUUCCAAAAUAUCUGCCAUGAGUUUUUUGAUUUCGAAGGUCGAAAGCUUUAAAAUGAUAUUAUAUACAAAACUUGAUACUAUUUACACUAUUUAGUAGUUGUAAAAAAAAGAAAAUUGUCUUGCAUCUAGCAUAAAUUAUAUUACAAGGGCAAAAUAAUAUUUUAGUAUAAAUUCAUUAACAUAUUCUACAACAAGAUGUAAAAUGGUAUUUUAAAAACCAUUGAAUAUAAGAAUGGUAGAUUUUAAAAUGUUUUAAUAAUUUUGGCUUUUUUUUUGGUUUACACGAAGGAAAAUAGUUCUCUAUUUUAUUUUACCAACAAGGAAAUCAGGUGAAAAAAUUUAGAAUACAUAAAUAAAUAAAUAAUAUUAUAUCAUGUAUUAUUACAUGUCACGCGUGUAAUAAUUAUUUGUAUCACCUCAAAUGUCGCAAGGGACUUUAGGAAUGGAAAGCAGGAAGUGAUAAAUGACCGGCAAAUUAAAAAUGAAGGGUAAAAAGGGAAAAUCAAAGAUUAUGGAGAUUUGAUGAUUCAUUUACGUCCGGAAGCAAGGAAUUUGACGCGAGAAGAUUGGGCCAUAUAAAAGGCAACCAUCGUGUUGUCUGGAGUAACAAGGCCAUUUCUCUCUCUCGUUAUUUGAUUUUGCGGGGAAAAAAAAAACCUAGUUUUCGGUGUAAAAAAAGAAGAAAAUGGCGGAUCAGCUCACCGACGAUCAGAUCUCCGAGUUUAAAGAAGCCUUCAGCUUGUUCGACAAGGACGGCGACGGUCUGAUUUUCUCUCUUCAUAAUCUCUUUGCUUUUAGCUUUGGAUUUUCUUAUAGAUCUAUUUUUUUUCCCUCUAUUCACGAAGCUGUUGAUUUUUGGAACGUUUUUGAUUAAUUACAGCUCUGAUCUCUCAUAUUUUCAAUUGAUUUUCGAUGUGUGAUGUGAUUUUGUUGAUUCUCUAAUUGAUGUUCGAUUAAUUGGAUUAUAUAAUUGACUGAACAUUAGGCUGAUGCGUUUCGUAUUUAAAAAGCUGCACAUUGUUUUUGUGGGCUUUGUUUGUUAUGCUUUAAUAUUGUUUUGUACAUGAAAGCAGUCGAUUCCGAAUCAGACCCGUGGAUGUUCAAGCUCUAUCGUAGUGUUCUUUCAUUAUUAAAUGAAAAAUCCUUCUGAUUCACUUUGCCUAGAACAAGUUCUUAUUCUGAUCGAAUGAUGCUUGCCAACCGCACAACAUAAUGGGCUUUACAUUAAAUUCUGUAAUACUUAUUGAAUCUGCUUCUUACUAAAUUUCUGGAUAGUUCGGCACAUUCUAAUUCAAUUAUGUUUUGGGAUUUGCAUCCUUUAUGCUCGUUUUGAGAAUUUGCUACUUGUAUUGUUUUAUCUAUUGUGCUUGUUACGUUUUAUUGUCUGCUGUUAUGCUUAGUGUUGUUUUUAGACUGAUUGGGUAUACUUAUCGUUUGCCAAAAUCUAGUCAGAACACUUGUCUCAUGUUGACACUGUAUUGUAUUUUGAUAAAUCAGCAAUGUUUAGCAAGUUAUGUUGCCUAGCUGUCAGCAACUUCACCACCGAGAGCUGUACUGCUUAGCAUUUUUGUUUUACGUGAGUAUCUAAAAAUUCUGACAGCUUUGUCGUGGUUCAUAUAAUAUUGGAUUUGCAGGUUGCAUUACCACCAAGGAGCUUGGCACUGUUAUGAGGUCACUGGGUCAGAACCCCACUGAGGCUGAGCUCCAGGACAUGAUCAAUGAAGUGGAUGCUGAUGGUAAUGGAACUAUUGAUUUUCCUGAAUUCCUAAACCUCAUGGCCAGGAAGAUGAAGGAUACCGACUCUGAGGAGGAGCUGAAAGAGGCCUUCCGGGUUUUCGACAAGGAUCAGAAUGGUUUCAUCUCAGCUGCUGAACUGCGUCAUGUGAUGACAAACCUUGGGGAGAAGCUUACUGAUGAGGAAGUCGAUGAGAUGAUAAGGGAAGCUGAUGUCGAUGGUGAUGGCCAGAUAAAUUAUGAGGAAUUUGUCAAGGUUAUGAUGGCUAAGUAAGUGACUCCACCCAACCAAAACUUCCUGGAAAAAGAAGAAAUUGGUUGAUUAAUAUAAUUGGUUCCCUAGUUUCCUUUUUUAUAAAUUUUAAUUUGAUAACUCUGAGGUCAAGCUAAAGGAAGCAUGUUGUCUCCUGCUUCAAUUUGUCUUGUGACUGGAG
rnacentral:lncRNA from 1 species